rnacentral:rRNA from 1 species
CACGUAGGGGGCAAGCGUUGUCCGGAUUCAUUGGGCGUAAAGAGCUCGUAGGCGGUUUGUUGCGUCGGCUGUGAAAUCCCGAGGCUCAACCUCGGGUCUGCAGUCGAUACGAGCAAACUAGAGUGUUGCAGGGGAGACUGGAAUUCCUGGUGUAGCGGUGGAAUGCGCAGAUAUCAGGAGGAACACCGAUGGCGAAGGCAGGUCUCUGGGCCGCAACUGACGCUGAGGAGCGAAAGCAUGGGGAGCGAACAGG